rnacentral:rRNA from 1 species
AUUGAACGCUGGCGGAAUGCUUUACACAUGCAAGUCGAGCGGCAGCACGGGGGCAACCCUGGUGGCGAGCGGCGAACGGGUGAGUAAUACAUCGGAACAUGCCCAGUCGUGGGGGAUAACACUUCGAAAGAAGUGCUAAUACCGCAUACGUCCUGAGGGGGAAAGCGGGGGAUCGCAAGACCUCGCGCGAUUGGAGUGGCCGAUGUCAGAUUAGCUAGUUGGUGGGGUAAAGGCCUACCAAGGCAACGAUCUGUAGCUGGUCUGAGAGGAUGAUCAGCCACACUGUGACUGAGACACGGCCCAGACUCCUACGGGAGGCAGCAGUGGGGAAUUUUGGACAAUGGGGGCAAGCCUGAUCCAGCCAUGCCGCGUGAGUGAAGAAGGCCUUCGGGUUGUAAAGCUCUUUCGGCAGGAACGAAACGGUGAGCUCUAACAUAGCUUGCUAAUGACGGUACCUGAAGAAGAAGCACCGGCUAACUACGUG